rnacentral:rRNA from 1 species
GACGAACGCUGGCGGCGUGCUUAACACAUGCAAGUCGAACGGAAAGGCCCUGCUUGGGUGGGGUGCUCGAGGGGCGAACGGGUGAGUAACACGUGAGUAGCCUGCCCUUGACUUUGGGAUAACGUCAGGAAACUGGGGCUAAUACCGGAUAGGUGCUCCGGCUGCAUGGUGGGGGAUGGAAAGUUUCGGCGGGUGGGGAUGGACUCGCGGCUUAUCAGCUUGUUGGUGGGGUAGUGGCUUACCAAGGCUUUGACGGGUAGCCGGCCUGAGAGGGUGACCGGCCACACUGGGACGGAGUUACGCCCCGGCCUCACACGGGCGGCAGCAGGGGGGAAUGAUGCUUGCGGGGCGGACGCAUGCUGGACGAACGCAGGGUGCGGGAUGAAUGCCUUCGGGCUGGAUGCCGCUCUCGCUUGUGCCGAACGGAGAGGGACGGUAAUGGGUGAAGAAGCACCGGCUAACUACGUG